GGUGGACAGAUGGAUGGACAGAAGAACAUAUGUAUGUCUAUUUGGAUGGAUGGUGGGUGGAUGGGUGGAUGGAUGGAUGAGUGGAUGGACACAUGGAUGGAUGAUGGGUGGAUGGGUG